rnacentral:rRNA from 1 species
CGGGUGAGUAACGCGUGAGGAACCUGCCUCAAAGAGGGGGACAACAGUUGGAAACGACUGCUAAUACCGCAUAAGCCCACGGCUCGGUAUCGAGCAGAGGGAAAAGGAGCAAUCCGCUUUGAGAUGGCCUCGCGUCCGAUUAGCUAGUUGGUGAGGUAAUGGCCCACCAAGGCGACGAUCGGUAGCCGGACUGAGAGGUUGAACGGCCACAUUGGGACUGAGACACGGCCCAG